rnacentral:rRNA from 1 species
AGCGAAUAGAUACCCAGGUAGUCCCAGCCGUAAACGAUGCUCGCUAGGUGUCAGGCAUGGCGCGACCGUGUCUGGUGCCGCAGGGAAGCCGUGAAGCGAGCCACCUGGGAAGUACGGCCGCAAGGCUGAAACUUAAAGGAAUUGGCGGGGGAGCACAACAACGGGCGGAGCCUGCGGUUUAAUUGGACUCAACGCCGGACAACUCACCGGGAGCGACAGCAAUAUGUAGGCCAGGCUGAAGACCUUGCCUGAAUCGCUGAGAGGAGGUGCAUGGCCGUCGCCAGUUCGUACUGUGAAGCAUCCUGUUAAGUCAGGCAACGAGCGAGACCCGUGCCCACUGUUACCAGCAUGUCCUCAGGGACGAUGGGUACUCUGUGGGGACCGCCGGUGUUAAAUCGGAGGAAGGUGCGGGCCACGGUAGGUCAGUAUGCCCCGAAUCUCCCGGGCUACACGCGGGCUACAAUGGAUGGGACAAUGGGUCCCUACCCCGAAAGGGGAUGGUAAUCUCAUAAACCCAUUCCUAGUUCGGAUCGAGGGCU